rnacentral:rRNA from 1 species
ACGGCGAGUGAAGCGGCAACAGCUCAAAUUUGAAAUCUGGCCUCUUUGGGGUCCGAGUUGUAAUUUGUAGAGGAUGUUUCGGGUACCGCCUCGGUCUAAAUUUCUUGGAACAGAAUGUCAAAGAGGGUGAGAAUCCCGUCUUGGACCGGCGGUAGGGCCCAUGUGAAACUCCUUCGACGAGUCGAGUUGUUUGGGAAUGCAGCUCAAAAUGGGUGGUAAAUUUCAUCUAAAGCUAAAUAUUGGCCAGAGACCGAUAGCGCACAAGUAGAGUGAUCGAAAGAUGAAAAGCACUUUGAAAAGAGAGUUAAACAGUAUGUGAAAUUGUUGAAAGGGAAGCGCUUGCAACCAGACUUGAGCGCGGCGGUUCCCCCUUCCUUUUGGUUGGGUUACUCCGCCGUGUCCAGGCCAACAUCGGUUCUGGGGGUCGGUUAAAGGCUCGAGGAAUGUAUCUACUCCUUCGGGGGUAGACUUAUAGCCUCGGGUGUCAUGCGACCUCCCGGGACCGAGGAACGCGCUUCGGCUCGGAUGUUGGCGUAAUGGUUGUCAGCGACCCGUCUUGAAACACGGACCAAGGAGUCUAACAUCUAUGCGAGUGUUUGGGUGUCAAACCCGGAACGCGGAAUGAAAGUGAACGGAGGUAGGAAGCCGCAAGGCUGCACUAUCGACCGAUCCUGAUGUCUUCGGAUGGAUUUGAGUAAGA